AUGGGAAGGCUGAGAUGUCUGUAUGGUGCUAGACAGGAAAAGUAUUGGCCAAAGAUCUGGAAAUACAUAAAGACUAAUUGUGGAAUUCAGCAUUUGCACAUAGAGCACUACUGUGGUGUCUCAGGAAUGCCUCCUUCAGUGAGAACAGAGAUUGUUGUUCUUUGCCUGGAAUAUAAUUUACUGAAAAAAUCCCAACUGUUUGGCUUCAUCUGGAAUCACUUCAGAGCUGUGAAGAAAGUGUAACAACACACAGAAAGUAAAACUGCUGUCAGUGCCAGUCUGUGAAGAAGUGUUUGCUGAAAAAUUAUUCUAUCUCAAGGUCACUGGCACUUAAAGAGUAUCAGGAAGUUCCAUGACUUUGAAAAAUAAAUAAUUUUUGUCUGGAGUUCUUGGCUGGUGU
rnacentral:lncRNA from 1 species